rnacentral:lncRNA from 1 species
GAGUGUGAGAGCAAGAACAGCCCGCAGGUCCCGAGGCGCUUGCAGGGGACUCUGCCGCGGAAAGUUCCCAGUCCCCAGCCGCAGAAGCUUUUUAUUUUUGGUUGAUUCCUGCUGUCUACUCCUCUUGGAUGCCUUUGUGAAACUGCUUCUAUCUGAGAAGGAGGAGUUGCCAUUUAGCAAGUAGUAGGUGGUACCGUGUGUGGCAGAGUCCGAUGUGUUACACCACGAGGACAUUCAUCUUUGCAAUUGGUGAAGUCCUUCUACCUAGUUCCCCUUCCUUGUGCACAGAAGAGGACUGGAAAACUCCUCACAGGACUGCAUACUGCUAUCUCUGAGAAACCAGAAAGAAGAAAGUACCUCUUCCUUCCAAGCUUCUACCUAAGAGUAUACUGGAAGGUUUACCUAGAGCAACAAGACAACGAAAUGGAUUGUCCUUCUCACGCUAGUCCACACACAAUCCUCAUCAUUUUGAUAAGAUAGCAUGAAGUCUCUUAUCGCUUGUGGAUCCAGCACUUUGGUUCAGUUUGGACAUGCACAUUCCGGAAAGAUUUGACUGAUUGCAUACCCAGCAUUAUAAUGUCUCCUAGAGUAUCUUUCCUAUGAGAAACAGCAAGUUGGAGAGGAAAGAGUUUAUUCAGCUUGCACUUUCAUACUGCUGUUCAUCACCAAGGAAGUCAGGACUGGAACUCAAGCAGGUUCAUCUGCCCAUAAUUCUCUAAGAUUUGGAGCUGUUGAGGAGUGGCUCAUAGUAGACACUGAACCAUCAGCCAACAGCAUUUGUUGUCCUGGAUGUCUGUGCCAACCUUUCGAGUCACACUGGGGUCUAAAGACACACCUGGAAUAAAAAUCAGAAUGCUUAAGAAACUUAAUAUGAUCUGCGGGAGAAUACAUGAGGUUUUUGUUUCAUACCACAGUCUGAUGACAGCAUGGAUUUCAACUGAUGAUGUUCACCUUUGCCUCUUGGGUCAAUAUGUGAGCUCAGAGAUUUCCCUGCUUUUGUUCUGUCAUUAUGGAUUCUAAACUUCUGAAACUACAUACUCAAUUAAAUGUUUUCUUUUAUAAAUUAUA